AUAUGUUUAAAAAAUUUUCAUAAAUUCAAAAACGUAAAAAGAAAAAGAAAAAAAAGAAAAAAAAAAAUUAUAUAAAUUCAGAAUAAUUAGGAAAAAAUAUUUUUUCUAACGUUUCUUACAAAAAAAUGAAAUGUUUUUCGUUCCUUUUCUUUUUUUUAUAAAAUUAUUUAUAUUUUAUAAAAUAAAAUAUUUUGUUACUAUUUUAUUAAAGAAUUAUUUUGAACAAAUUCUCUUCUUAUUAUUAAUAUAUGUAAAAUUUACAACCUGUUUUUUUUGUUUUUAUUUACAUUACCCUUUUAUAGGAUAAUUUUUUAUAAUAUAUAUAUAUAUAUAUAUA